rnacentral:rRNA from 1 species
UACGGAGGGUGCAAGCGUUAAUCGGAAUUACUGGGCGUAAAGCGCGCGUAGGUGGCUUGAUAAGCCGGUUGUGAAAGCCCCGGGCUCAACCUGGGAACGGCAUCCGGAACUGUCAGGCUAGAGUGCAGGAGAGGAAGGUAGAAUUCCCGGUGUAGCGGUGAAAUGCGUAGAGAUCGGGAGGAAUACCAGUGGCGAAGGCGGCCAUCUGGCUGGUAACUGACGCUGAGGUGCGAGAGCGUGGGGAGCAAACAGG